UCUCAGCCAGCUUCAGUCUUCGUUUGCGUUUUGAAGUGUAUCGACCUGGAUCUGCGACGACCGGUUGACUGACUGGUACCUGCUUGUGCGUCGCAGCAGGACGAUUCCGAUUUCUUGCACAACUGACCUUCUCGAUCCGUUCCGUGGACACUGACGAUGAAUCUGAUCUGUUGUUAACGGUAGAUGCUGUUUCAAACAGUAAUUGUUUCCGAACCGCGGGAAAUACGGAAAUUGCAAGUCCGGUAGAACAUUAAAUUGAUGUAAUCACCAAGUGGCAACAGCGCCGUGUAAUUAGGAACGAAAUCAGUCAUACGGUUAAUCGCAAGAAGGUGUAAUAAUUGUGGUGCUGCUAAGUAGUUAAGCCAUCAUACGAUACUGGUAUCACACGCAGUUGUUGCCGUGGAUUUUUGGUCUGCAGCUUGGGAAUGUGACGAAACCUUCAUAGAACAUGAGUACAGAUCGUUCUACAAACAAAGUGUGUGCGAUGCAAAUUAUUUUUGCUGACAGCGGUGAAUGUGAAUUGCUACAGCUAUCCAGCAAAAUUUAUGAAGAAUUCAUUUUUGAAGGCAAAUAGCAAGUGAUACAUGUGACAAACUUACUCGUUAGCGCAUUGAAGGAGUGAUUAGAAUAACGAAGCUGCUGUACAGUGAUAAUUGUCGUGCAACGGCAAUCGGAAGCAAUCAACAUGCAACCGCACGAGAACUAUAACAACAACAUUACCCAGAGCGAGUUCGCUCCAACGCUGGACAGCAGUGACAAAAGCCCCAUUACCUGUGCCAGUUCGUCAACCACUAUCUUCACUCAACAAUCCAACGCGAAGAUCGAAUGCUGUAGCACACAGGAAUGUAUCAACUGUAGUAGUAGUAGUAAUUUCACCAAUUCUAACAACAACAAUAGUGAAAGCCCAGCGGAACUGGUCUGCAGUAAACAGGAUGUCUCGUACUACAAACUCCGGCAGUUACUUAGCUACGAAGACGCACCGAAGCACCUGCAGUUUAAUCCAUUUAUUCGCACCGGGUACCGAACCAUUCUGUCCACCAAGCUCUGCCUGGAGAGUAUGUUCUGGUGGACAAACGAAACCUUCAACAUCUGGAGCCACGUCUUUGGAUGUUUCCUGUUCAUCGGACUAGCCUAUUCGGAUAUUGUGCUGCUCCAGAUGCAUGCGAGUACAAUCGAUAAGAUAAUAGUCGGCGCUUUGCUAGUGUGCUUCCAGGUUUGCAUGAUCCUGUCUUCCAUUUACCAUACUUUCUCCUGUAAAUCGGAGCAAAGUUAUGAGUGCUUCCUCGCGUAUGACCUGUUCGGCAUUGCACUGUCACUCUUGGCCAUCUUCAUCAGCGGCAUCUAUUAUGCCUUCUGGUGUAAUGCGGAACUACGAAAUUUCUACAUCAUCACCAUCGGGGUGAUAUUCACGAUAGCAAUGAUCCUGCAGAUCCCGCGACUGAAGGUGAAUUCCAACAUCAAGAUGCUCGCCUUCGUCGCCUGGGCUGCAUACGGCGUCGUCCCCACACUCCACUGGUACAUUGUGAUGGGCGGCGCAGAAAGUACCAUGGUCAAGUUGUUCAUUCCACGCGUGAUGGUGAUGUAUUUGCUGACGGGCACGGCCUUCCUGAUCUACGUCACCAGGAUACCGGAGCGUUGGUUCGCCGGCAAAGUGGACUACAUCGGUCACUCGCACAACUGGUGGCACGUGUUUGUUCUGGCAGCUCUCUACUACUGGCACAACAGCGGUUUGGCCUUUGCAUUUUUCAUGAUUGAUAACGGAUGCGUAGAAGAUAGAGAUAAAUGUUACCGAUUGUAAAUAAGACUAAAAAAACAGUUAAAUUUAUCGAUUCCAUUUUAAAUAUCUUAUGUUUUUGCUUUUUUUUUACGUUAAUUGCAUACAUUGUAUGUAUGUAGUUUAUUUUUGUUUAUUCAGGGUACGGUGAAAAGCAAUAUAAAAUCAAGUGCAUAUUUUUCGUUUAACAAUAUCGGUCAAAAAUAACUAGUGGAAGUAAUAGGAUCUAACCAGAAAGAAAAAUCAAACACUAGAACUGACAGGGUUUAGGUUCAACACACAGCAAGGGUCAUAAGACACAACACUGUUUCUUAGUCAGAGGUAGAAAUUUAAAACAGAUAUUUGAAUGAUCCAAACCAACCCCAACCGCCCUUUCUAGGUAUGAAAUAUGUUGAGUUCAGGAUGACUCAUGGAUGCUCCGCCGGGGUUCAGUACACCUGACCAGAUGCAAAAGACAUGCCACAAUUACAGAGCGAUACUGAGAGAGAAAGAGAGACAACCGCUUACCAUUUUCUAAUUGUAUAAAUCGUAGAAUAGUUGAAAUUUUACCGUUAGUCAAUUGUUAAUUAAGUAGAAACACCUUUUAAACUAAUGUCGAACACUGUUCUAGUUGAAUAGAAUGGUGCAGAAAAAAAAAAGUUGCUCAAAGUUAUCGACUACCAAUUAUGAACGUAGGCAAUUAUUACCGACGACGUACUAUAUUGUUAACAAAUAGUAUCAUUUUUACCAAUUCGCAGUACAAGAUGUGAUCUAAUCUAAACAUUUCAAGUUUGUUUUUCCUUUUUAGUCUUUCUACUACAAUUCAAUGGAUAUUGAUAAAUAAUAAAGGUCUUAAAUAUCAAA